rnacentral:rRNA from 1 species
UAACGCGGGGCAACCUGGCGACGAGAGGCGGACGGGUGAGCAAUGCUUGGGAAUCUGCCCAUCAGCGGGGGACAACCCGGGGAAACUCGGGCUAAUACCGCAUACGCUCUACGGAGGAAAGCCGGGGACCGCAAGGCCUGGCACUGACGGAUGAGCCCAAGCCGGAUUAGCUAGUUGGCGGGGUAACGGCCCACCAAGGCGACGAUCCGUAGCUGGUCUGAGAGGACGAUCAGCCACACCGGAACUGAGACACGGUCCGGACUCCUACGGGAGGCAGCAGUGGGGAAUAUUGGACAAUGGGGGAAACCCUGAUCCAGCGACGCCGCGUGGGUGAAGAAGGCCUGCGGGUUGUAAAGCCCUUUCGGUAGGGACGAAAGCUUUCGACCUAACACGUCGGAAGGUUGACUUAACCUACAAAAGAAGCACCGGCUAACUCUGUGCCAGCAGCCGCGGUAAU